rnacentral:rRNA from 1 species
UAGGGAAUCUUCCACAAUGGACGCAAGUCUGAUGGAGCAACGCCGCGUGAGUGAAGAAGGUUUUCGGACCGUAAAGCUCUGUUGUUGGUGAAGAAGGAUAGAGGUAGUAACUGGCCUUUAUUUGACGGUAAUCAACCAGAAAGUCACGGCUAACUACGUGCCAGCAGCCGCGGUAAUACGUAGGUGGCAAGCGUUGUCCGGAUUUAUUGGGCGUAAAGCGAGCGCAGGCGGAAGAAUAAGUCUGAUGUGAAAGCCCUCGGCUUAACCGAGGAAUUGCAUCGGAAACUGUUUUCUUGAGUGCAGAAA